AUUGUACGCUGGCGGCAGGCCUAACACAUGCCAGUCGAGCGGAUGAAGGGAGCUUGCUCCUGGAUUCAGCGGCGGACGGGUGAGUAAUGCCUAGGAAUCUGCCUGGUAGUGGGGGAUAACGUCCGGAAACGGGCGCUAAUACCGCAUACGUCCUGAGGGAGAAAGUGGGGGAUCUUCGGACCUCACGCUAUCAGAUGAGCCUAGGUCGGAUUAGCUAGUUGGUGGGGUAAAGGCCUACCAAGGCGACGAUCCGUAACUGGUCUGAGAGGAUGAUCAGUCACACUGGAACUGAGACACGGUCCAGACUCCUACGGGAGGCAGCAGUGGGGAAUAUUGGACAAUGGGCGAAAGCCUGAUCCAGCCAUGCCGCGUGUGUGAAGAAGGUCUUCGGAUUGUAAAGCACUUUAAGUUGGGAGGAAGGGCAGUAAGUUAAUACCUUGCUGUUUUGACGUUACCAACAGAAUAAGCACCGGCUAACUUCGUG
rnacentral:rRNA from 1 species